rnacentral:lncRNA from 1 species
AGCUGCUACAUUAAUAGGACAACAAUGCCACCCAUCAGAGACAAAAGGCGCCCUGCUUGGUACUGGAUUCAAUAAAUGAACACAAAAAUUACUUCCAGCCUAUAAGGCAGCAGUUUUUUCUCCAUCACCUGAAUCCUGUUGUCCUGUAGCAUUUCAAAACUUAAUUUUUCAGACAGCAGUGUGGUUGCCAAAUGAAAAUAAAGAUUAUUCAAAAGACUCUACCACUAUUUUCUAUUAGAUACAAUGGCUGAAAUGUGUAGGAGAGCUAAAGCAGAGAAGGAGAAAGACCUGAAUAAUCACUUUCAACAAAAGUGAUUGCCGAUGACAGGUGUGGGUCGGAGCUACGUACACCUGGUGCCUCUUCCAGAGCUACUGCUAGUCUUGGCAUUCUGGGUUUUGAAUGACUACGGAGAUUACAAUGGCAAACAAAGGAAUAUGAGGAACAAUAAUCUGCACCGAAAAGCACUGUUCUCUCAGUGGCAGCCCAAUGCCGAUGGCAGCAGCAGGCCACGGCCGUGCCUCUCCCACCUGCACAGGCCUCAGGUAACCAGGUAACCUUCCUGCUGGGGACACAGGCCCCACUGCAGGAGGGAAGCUGAAGCACAUGCAAAUCCUCCAUUUUUAAGGAAUUGGACAACCACUUAUUGGUAUAUACUACUGUCCCUAGUAUCCCUCAGAGCGAUUUAACCACUCCUGCCAGAGACCAUGGUUAAAGCUGCAGGUGAACCUGCCUGCUCGUCCUCACCACCUGGGGGAUGUGGCCAUGCUGUGCUGUGGUACCUCAGAGCUGGGGGCAGCAAGGAGUAGGCCGCUCAAGACUCUGGGAAACUGGAGAAGCAGGGGGUGGUACAACUUCUGUAGGCUGGUGGAAGAUAAAGGGAAGGUCCUUCUGCAGGAAUGUGGUAAGAUCAGGAAAUGCCAUCUCCCUCAUCGAGUGGGUUUUUCUGUUGAGUGGGUGGGUCACGUCUGGCAAAUUGUAUGGCCAACUACUGCUUUUAUGUUCCAACCUCAGUCUU